rnacentral:rRNA from 1 species
GAUGAACGCUAGCGGCAGGCCUAAUACAUGCAAGACGAACGGUAAGUUGAGUAGCAAUACUUAGCCAAGAGUGUCGUACGGGUGCGUAACACGUAUGCAACCUACCCUAUACAGGAGGAUAGCCUAGGGAAACCUGGAUUAACCCUUCAUAGUAUUAUUGGAUGGCAUCAUUUGAUAAUUAAAACUGAGGUGGUAUAGGAUGGGCAUGCGUCUGAUUAGUUAGUUGGCGGGGUAAUGGCCCACCAAGACGAUGAUCAGUAGGGGUUCUGAGAGGAAGAUCCCCCACACUGGCACUGAGAUACGGGCCAGACUCCUACGGGAGGCAGCAGUAGGGAAUAUUGGUCAAUGGAUGCAAGUCUGAACCAGCCAUAGCCGCGUGCAGGAAG